CAACCAUCCGCAUUAGUUUGACUAUAAUAUUUACGGCCGAUAAUCGGUAAUCGCUUUUGUGCUUAAUAAUAAAUAUUACGGUAAAUUAAUGCGUAAAAGUGAACUAUUUUGUGCGUCUUGACUCGAAAACUCAGUCCUAUGCUCAAGACAAGAACUGAAGAUUUCCUAGAUGCCACUUCACGAAAUUCUUGGGUGGCUCCUCUCAUCAAACUUUAUCGGCUAAAUAAUCCCCUAGCUACACUAAGGUAAGUAA